ensembl:lncRNA
UUUUGGCCUUUCUCUGUGUUAGAGGCCAAUUUGGUCCUGGACUUUGAAGUAUUGAGAGGCCUGAAGCCAAUCAGUGCUGGUGCUGAACUGUCCCCAGGCAGCAGCAACACUGAGCUUCUGUUUUCCUCAGGAACUGCAGCAGGAACAACAGCAGUUCAGAGGAAACCAACAGCAUAUUCUGUGAGAGACUUCAGGUAUAAUCAUUAUUCUCAGGAAUUUCUGAGCUGCCUCAAGGAGAAGUCUUUUUCAAUGGGAAGAGAGUGAGACCCUCACCAGAGUCAAUUCUCCCUAAUCUGUCCCUAUAACUUCUGACCAAACAGUGCAUCUGCCUAACCCCAAGUUUCCCUGCCUCCCUGUCCUCUUUUGACCUUUCUACUUAAACCUGAAGUCAUUUUCUCUGAGAGCAUGUGACUCAGGCAGCAUAAUGUCAGGGAUCAGGACUGAACUAUUAUAGACACAGUGGAUUAGCAGCCAAGGAAUGAUUCCUCUGACUCGGGCUAUCUAGGGUUCUCUGAGGAUUCAUUCUCUGGCAACCAGACCUCUUGGACUAUAAUAACCUUAUAAUUCUGAGGAGUAAUCCUGAAUUACAACAUGGCAAGAUUCAUGAUGGAUGAGCUCAUUUUUCUGGGUGCACUAUUUGGGCAUGUUAUCUCAAAUAUUAUCAAUCUCCAAUAAAGGGAAGCAUUUUUGUUUCUUAUUCA